rnacentral:rRNA from 1 species
AUUGAACGCUGGCGGCAGGCCUAACACAUGCAAGUCGAGCGGAUGAAGGGAGCUUGCUCCUGGAUUCAGCGGCGGACGGGUGAGUAAUGCCUAGGAAUCUGCCUGGUAGUGGGGGAUAACGUCCGGAAACGGGCGCUAAUACCGCAUACGUCCUGAGGGAGAAAGUGGGGGAUUUUCGGACCUCACGCUAUCAGAUGAGCCUAGGUCGGAUUAGCUAGUUGGUGGGGUAAAGGCCUACCAAGGCGACGAUCCGUAACUGGUCUGAGAGGAUGAUCAGUCACACUGGAACUGAGACACGGUCCAGACUCCUACGGGAGGCAGCAGUGGGGAAUAUUGGACAAUGGGCGAAAGCCUGAUCCAGCCAUGCCGCGUGUGUGAAGAAGGUCUUCGGAUUGUAAAGCACUUUAAGUUGGGAGGAAGGGCAGUAAGUUAAUACCUUGCUGUUUUGACAUUACCAACAGAGUAAGCACCGGCUAACUUCGUG